rfam:Aedes albopictus isolate Foshan contig14282, whole genome shotgun sequence.
UGUUCUGCAGCGUAGUUGGUUAACGCGCUCUGUCUAGCGAACUUGGGGAGACGUGGGUUCAAACCCCAUCAGAACUA